GAAUAUUGGUCAAUGGGUGAGAGCCUGAACCAGCCAUGCCGCGUGCAGGAAGACGGCCUUCUGGGUUGUAAACUGCUUUUAACGGGGGAUAAAACGCUCAUGCGUGAGUGAUUGAAGGUACCCGUUGAAUAAGCCACGGCUAACUACGUGCCAGCAGCCGCGGUACUACGUAGGUGGCGAGCGUUGUCCGGAUUUAUUGGGUUUAAAGGGUGCGUAGGCGGCCUUGUAAGUCAGUUCUGAAAUAUCCCGGCUUAACCGGGAGGGUGGGAUUGAUACUGCAGGGCUUGAGUGGAGUCGAGGUAGGCGGAAUUGACGGUGUAGCGGUGAAAUGCUUAGAUAUCGUCAAGAACACCGAUAGUGUAGACAGCUUACUAGACUUCAACUGACGCUGAGGCACGAAAGUGUGGGGAUCAAACAG
rnacentral:rRNA from 1 species